AGAGAGAGAGAGAGAGAGAGAGCGAGCAAGAGCAUGGGCACAAACAGAGGGAGUGUGGCAGGCAGAGGGAGAAGCAUGGUCCCGGCUGAGCAGGGAGCCCGAUGUGGCACUCUAUCCCAGGACCCUGAGAUCAUGAUCUAAGCCCAAGGCAGAUGCUUAACUGACUGAGCCCCCCAGGAGCCCCUGCCUAACUUUAGAAAAGCCCAAUUUUAAGGCAAUACCACCAACAUAGUAGCAAUUAUGUAUCAAGCCAUCAUCGUACCACCAUGCCCCAGGCUUUUAUUAUAUAUGUUUGUAAUAUGUAUAUUUGCGAAUAUAUGGCCCUAUUAACAUAUUCUAUUUUUUAAUGUUCUAUUUUUGAACAAAAAUAUAAUAUUGCUUCCACCUACUAUUUUUUUGAUCUUCCUUUCUCUGCUUAAUAAUCUAUCAUAAAUUUCCUGCCAGAUCAAUGAAAUGAUUUUUAUACCAUUUUGCAUGAUCUACCAUAAUGACCUUAACAAAAAAGAAGCCUAUUUGUAAACACAUAAAUUGUUUCUAAUGUUUCCUCAUUAUAAACAACACGUGAUGACCAUCCUCAUACUUCUAUAGUUUUACACCUAAUUGCGGGCAUAGAAUAAAUCACCUGUAGUGGCAUCUCUGGUUUAAAAUGGAUGCACUUUUUGAGGCAUUUGAUAAGUUUUGUCCAGUUGUCUCUUAAAAGGCUUUACCCAGUUGUUCCCCAAAUAAUUGAUGACAAUGCUUUCCAAAUUCUUUUUUAAACUUUUUGGCAUGUGUAAGAAAGGAUAAUUUAGGCACACAUGAACAAGGGCAGAGGGCAAAGAGAAGAAUAUGCUGGAAGCCAACCUCCCUGGGGCUGGAGCUUCCCACAGGGCUGAGGGGAACAAUGUCCCUGCAUGACCUUCUCCCACGUAUGCUUGUGAGCUGCUCCGUAAUAUAGAAUAGCUCCUGUCUAUAGGGGUUUUCUUAGAUCCCAGUAACCCUGGAUUCUGGUUUCCCAAAGAAGCCAUUUCUCUUAGUGAGCAAGGCUAGGUGGUGGUGUUGGCAGGGGACCAGAGAAAAGGCAGAACGUGGCCCAGACGAAGCGGUAUCACCUUGUGAACCUUUAGUGUCGUGUCAUUAGCUGUUGUGGCUUAAAACUCAAACACAGUUUUCAGGUGACAAUCUCUAAGAAGUCACUAGUUACGUUGGAGGCUAACUCUGGACGUUCCUCCUUCGUCAGCGGAACACAGUGAGUCUGAAUGAAUCAUCAUGAAGAGGCAUAACUUGUUGGGGCUUCCCAAGACACAGAAAGGAAUCUGGCCAACCUUUCUGUUGAAGCAUUAUGAGAGAGGACCCAUGUCAUGAAAAAAGAUGCUGAGCACGAUGAAUAUGCCAUCUAUGACUUCUUCCAGGUUUCUGAUCCUUCCAGGGACAGGAUCUCAGCCUUUUGGGCUCUUGUCAAGAAACCAAAUUGCUAAAACCAAGCGACUUAUUCCCAGCGGGGAUCAUAGAAAACAACAACAAACAAAAAAAGAACAGGAUUUACAUUUAGAUGACCUGGAGUCAAGAUGCUGGGAGAUACUGGGCUGAGCCUCACUUUUUCCAUCUGCAAAAUGGACAUAACAAGACCUGCUCUUCUGUGUUUGUUCAUUCACCACAGAGAUGGGGAGUAAAACCCAAGAAGCUGCUGGCCAUUGGCUAGAAAUCAAACAAAACAAAGAAUUAAUUGGAACUAAGGCUGUACAGAGUGCUAAUCUAUACCAGUCAUGGGAACAGGCAAGAAAAGCCAGGGGCCCAGGCAGCAUAGACGGAGAACGUCAAGAGCAAGGACUGCGUGAAAAGGCCUGGGAGUCACAAAGGAUCCAGGCAAGAACAAGUGGAUGGAUUGGAUUGGAACAUAACAGCAAACAAGCCAAUAUCGAGGACCUAUUGUGUGCAGCUACUGGGCGAAUCACUGUAAGACAAGUGGAGAUGACUGAGAUAUAUUCCCUCUCUCAAAGAAGUGACAUCUCAACGUAGCAUUAGGCGUUUGAAGAUCUUGAUGGAUGGACACACGGGGUGAAAGACAGCAUCAUCACAGGAUGAAGAUAGUGGUUUGGAGACUGUUGAGGAGACCAGGAUGUGGAGAAACAGGGAAAGAUGUAGCUGGAAAGUUGCUUGGGAUCAAACCCAUGAGGAUUCUGAAUGUCCGGCAGAGGAAAUUAGACUUGAUUCUGUAGAUAAUGAUAUGUCAAUCAAGGUGCUUGACAAGGUAAGUGAACAGCAAUUUCUGCUCCGUGGAUCAUCAUCAAGUGUUCUGCCCAGUGAAGAAAGAAGAACUGCAGUAAUUCAAGGUACUGAUUUUGAGUUCCUUGUUCACCUCGAAUUUCUCUUCACUGAUCAGGUCUCUUUACAUAUUAUUUUUAGAACUUUUAAAAUGGCAGCCACAGGAAAACAAUAUCCAAAGCAGAAGAAAAAGGGAACCAAAAUGAAGGGGAAUACCUUCUUCAGCAAAUACUAGCUAUUUACUUUGGGUUUCGUCACUGAUCCCAGGACAGAAAUGAAUGAAAAUUUACCCAAAAGAAACAUGAGUGUGAAGAGUUAAACCAAAAAAAAAAAAAAAAAAGUGCUUUGGACUUUUACUUUAAAAUACACUUUUGAGGGGCACCUGUGUGGCUUAGUGGGUUAGGCCUCUGCCUUCGGCUUAGGUCAUGAUCUUGGGGUCCUGGGAUCAAGCUCUGCAUCGGGCUCUCUGCUUGGCGAGGAGCCAGUUUUUCCCUCUCUCUCUGCCUGCCUCUCUGCCUACUUGUGAUCUCUCUCUCUCUGUCAAAUAAAAUAAAAUAAAAUAUUUUAAAAUACUCUUUUUUUGAAUUUAACGAUCUGUAACUUUUCUCCACUCUCUCCACUCAGCAAGCUUCUCGAGCACACUUCUCCUCCUCAUGUUCUGGAGAACAAU